GAUAAGUGCUGAAAGCAUCUAAGCAUGAAGCCCCCCUCAAGAUGAGAUUUCCCAUUACGCAAGUAAGUAAGAUCCCUCAAAGACGAUGAGGUAGAUAGGUUCGAGGUGGAAGUGUGGUGACACAUGGAGCUGACGAAUACUAAUCGAUCGAGGACUUAACCAAAAA
rnacentral:rRNA from 1 species